GAUGAACGCUGGCGGCAUGCCUAACACAUGCAAGUCGAACGAGGCGCAAGCCUAGUGGCGAACGGGUGAGUAACGCGUAGGAAUCUGCCCCGAACUGGGAAAUAACGGCCAUAAGCCGGGUAAUGUCCCAUAGUCCCGCAAGGGUAAAGUCGCAAGACGGUUUGGGAGGAGCCUGCGUCCCAUCAGCUAGUUGGUGGGGUAAUGGCCCACCAAGGCGACGAUCAGUAGCUGGUCUGAGAGGAUGAUCAGCCACACUGGGACUGAGACACGGCCCAGACUCCUACGGGAGGCAGCAGUGGGGAAUCUUGGACAAUGGGCGCAAGCCUGAUCCAGCCAUGCCGCGUGGGUGAUGAAGGCCCUAGGGUUGUAAAGCCCUUUCGGCGGGGAAGAUAAUGACGGUACCCGCAGAAGAAGCCCCGGCUAACUUCGUGCCAGCCGCCGCAGUAA
rnacentral:rRNA from 1 species